AGGACCCCGUGCCCAAUGACUUAGAGGGCUGGGCUGCCCAUCAGCCAAAAGUCAGCAGGCACAGCAGCGACUGCCGAAUAGCCCUUAGACCAAAGGAUCCUCACCGAAAUGGACAAUCUUCAGGAAAUGUCCACCAGCACCCAGAUGUUACCAGGAAAAGGAUGGGAUGCUUUUCUGCAGGGAUGACAGUGACAAAGUGAUGCUUGCGGCAAUAACCAGAGCCAUUAAAAGACAACCUGGAGCCAGACAGGGGCCAGCCAGGUAGCUAGAGAGAGAAAAGAGAGCUUCUGGUUUGGCAAGGACUGCAGGAGUUCAUCUUGGGUGACCCGUUGUUUAUAUCCUGUAGACAGAGGAUGAAUUACCUCCUAGGAACCUCCUUAGCCUCUGGAAAUAGGCUUUCAUCAUCUCAUCCUACCUGCCCACCAGACGUAACCAGAAGUGUCUAAAUCCCAGGAGUGGCCACAGUUCUGC